AGCGAACGCUGGCGGCAGGCCUAACACAUGCAAGUCGAACGAAGUCUUCGGACUUAGUGGCGGACGGGUGAGUAACACGUGGGAACGUGCCUUUAGGUUCGGAAUAACUCAGGGAAACUUGUGCUAGUACCGAAUGUGCCCUUCGGGGGAAAGAGUUAUCGCCUUUAGAGCGGCCCGCGUCUGAUUAGCUAGUUGGUGAGGUAAAGGCUCACCAAGGCGACGAUCAGUGGCUGGUCUGAGAGGAUGAGCAGCCACAUUGGGACUGAGAUACGGCCCAAACUCCUACGGGAGGCAGCAGAGGGGAAUCUUGCGCGAUGGGCGAAAGCCUGACGCAGCCAUGCCGCGUGGAUGAUGAAGGUCUUAGGAUUGUAAAAUCCUUUCACCGGUGAAGAUAAUGACUGUAGCCGGAGAAGAAGCCCCGGCUAACUUCGUGCCAGCAGCCGCCGUAAGAC
rnacentral:rRNA from 1 species